AUAAAAACUCGUGACGGUGGAUGUCUAGGCUCCGGUAACGAUGAAGAACGCAGCGAAAUGCGAUACGUAGUGCGAAUUGCAGAACCCGUGAAUCAUCGAAUUUUUGAACGCAAGUUGCGCUCGCGGGCAAUCCUGCGAGCAUGUCUGUUUGAGUGUCCGCAG
rnacentral:rRNA from 1 species